UACGUAGGGUGCAAGCGUUAAUCGGAAUUACUGGGCGUAAAGCGUGCGCAGGCGGUUUUGUAAGUCUGUCGUGAAAUCCCCGGGCUCAACCUGGGAAUUGCGAUGGAGACUGCAAGGCUAGAAUCUGGCAGAGGGGGGUAGAAUUCCACGUGUAGCAGUGAAAUGCGUAGAGAUGUGGAGGAACACCGAUGGCGAAGGCAGCCCCCUGGGCUAGCACUGACGCUCAGGCACGAAAGCGUGGGGAGCAAACAGG
rnacentral:rRNA from 1 species